rnacentral:lncRNA from 1 species
UGAGCUGAAAUAUGAGUUGUCCAACUCUUGUAAGUGCAUGCUCCAUCACAUCAUCCUGAGUCAGUAAUGAGGAUGCCAUUGUACCCUUCAAGCAGCCCUGGAGAGUUUAUCUCUGCAUGCUGGAGCUAAUAAUAAUAGAAUCUCAAGAGCCUUCAAACAUCCAUAUUAUGCUGAUGUCUUUUAAGGUGAUUCAACUCAGCAUAUGUUGUUUGAAGCCGUGAGACUGAGUGAGAUCAUGGAGGAAGUGAAUGUAAAUAGAAAAGGGAAGAAGUCUGAAGACGGAGCCCUGAGACACUCCAUUGUAAACUGGAAGAUGAGGAAGAGCCAGCAAAGGAGACUGAGAAGGGGCAGCCAGUGAAGAUGGAGCCAGGGCUAGAGUAAGAGCCCCUUCUGGGAUGCUGUGACCCCCAAGUUUGAAGACUGCUGAUAACCCCAAUCUACGAAGACUAGCUAUGGAACUUCCUACACUGAGACAACUCCAGUGGAACUCUGAUAAUUAUCCUAAAAUAAGGAGGCUUCUUCAGUAGCCCUCGAAAUAUGUUCAAAUACAUGAUUACAUUUAUGUCCUUA